rnacentral:rRNA from 1 species
CCUACGGGUGGCAGCAGUGAGGAAUAUUGGUCAAUGGUCGGGAGACUGAACCAGCCAAGCCGCGUGAGGGAGGAAGGUACAGAGUAUCGUAAACCUCUUUUGUCAGGGAACAAAGACUGGGACGCGUCCCCGGAUGAGUGUACCUGAAGAAAAAGCAUCGGCUAACUCCGUGCCAGCAGCCGCGGUAAUACGGAGGAUGCGAGCGUUAUCCGGAUUUAUUGGGUUUAAGGGGUGCGCAGGCGGUCUGUUAAGUCAGCGGGCAAAGCCCGGGGCUCAACCCCGGCCCGCCGUUGAAACUGGCAGUCUCGAGUAGGAGAGAAGUAUGCGGAAUGCGCGGUGUAGCGGUGAAAUGCAUAGAUAUCGCGCAGAACUCCGAUUGCGAAGGCAGCAUGCCGGCUCCACACUGACGCUGAGGCACGAAAGCGUGGGUAUCGAACAGGAUUAGAUACCCCGGUAGUC